AUUUUUAUACAUUGGAACAACCCGGAUUAACUAUGAUAAUUUAAGGCCAAGAUUAUUCCGGGAUUUGAAGUCGGGACUUUUGACCAUUUGAUUUUAAUUUGAGAUAUAAGUCAUGUAUGAAAUUGAUGGCAUUGAACACUUAGGGAAAAUUGGGACUACAAUUCAUAAAAUUGGAAUUAAAAUGUUGUGCAAAAAAAAAAAAUUCCUUGGUGGCCAUGUAAAUGGGAAUUGGUCCCACACAUUGUGUGGCCAAUUUUAAUUGGUCCACCCCAUGUGUGGGCCAUGGACACUUGGACAAUAUUCAUAUAAGCACAAAAGAUGACCAAGUAGUCAUCUUUUCUACCAUUCCAUCAAAAAAAAAAAAGAGCAAGAAGUUGAAGAACAACUUCAACCACACGGCCAAGAACAAAAAAAAAACAAAUCCAAUUCAAGCCAUCCCAAAAUUAUUUCUUUGGUGUAAACCCACUAUUUUGAGGUCCCUAAGUAGUGUGGAAGUGUUGUUGGGGCGAUCAAAUCAUCCGUUUGGCAAGAUCACAAACCCUAACUAUUUGUGGGAUUGAAGAAGAAAGACCUUGGGGAGCCCGAGGCGUAGAUUUGGAUUAGCUUUAGAUUGAUUCGCUUGGAGUGCGUACGAGGUACAGACGCACAGCCUGGUGAUCCACCUGUUUAGGACACCCUUUCUGCUAUUCGGAGUGCUCCUCUCUUUCCGGAGCUUAUACUUUUGGUAUAUAUAUUUAUUAGUGCAUUUGUAUAUAUUCGUUCAUGGGUACGGCGGGGCCCUGUCCCGUCAUAUGAUUCUGUCGGUCUGUUUAGAGGUCUGUGGACAUGUUUGUGGGUUAGGGUCUUUCUGUAUGAAUGUAUGUACAUGUCGUUUGGGCGACCCUAUACGCCGAGGCGGCCGGUCCGCAUAUGUUUAUAUAUUGCUUGGUUAGCCCUGUGUGGCUUUCGUUGGUAUUUUCUGCGUGCAGGGUAUAUUGGAUAGUCCGUAAAACAAAGGAAACUCUGCCGAAAUUUUUCUGGAAAUUACCUAAAUUUGAAAUAAAGCCUUGUCGGCUUCCGCCAUAUACUAGAAUGAGUUGAUAGAAUUUGAGAUAAUAUUUAAUAGAUGGGUUCGGGUGCCCAGAUCGGGCACUAGUCACGGCCUACGGGGUUGGGUCGUGACAGAAGUGGUAUCAGAGCGGUUUGUCCUCGGAGUGUCCACAGAUCGUGUCUAGUAGAGUCUUGUUUAUCGGUGUGUUGUGCACCACAUCUAUAAACAGGAGGCUACAGGACAUUUAGGAUGUUGUCUUUUCUUCUGAUCUUAGAUCGUGCGAUAGAACUGUGCUAUUAGGAUGAUUCUGUUUUGAUCUGUUGUUGUUUUUC